rnacentral:rRNA from 1 species
CCAUGGGUUACUCGAUCCUAAGACAAAGGGAAGUUCCCUGUAUCAUGUGAUGCUCGACAUUCGAUGUCAAAAGGGAAUCAGUUUAAUAUUCCUGAAGUGGGAAAUGGAUGAGUGGUAACACAAACAAGUUUGGAGACGCCAAUAUGAUGAUCUAGAAGAGUUAUCUUUUCUUUUUAACAGAUCAAUAGCCUUGAAAU